UGCCAGCCGCCGCGGUAAUACGUAGGAGGCAAGCGUUAUCCGGAAUUAUUGGGCGUAAAGAGCAUGUAGGCGAUUUAUUAAGUCUGAUGUGAAAGCUAAUGGCCUAACCAUUAAAUUGCAUUGGAAACUGGUAAACUAGAAUACUGGAGAGGUAAGUGGAACUCCAUGUGUAGCGGUGGAAUGCGCAGAUAUAUGGAAGAACACCAACGGCGAAGGCAGCUUACUGGACAGAGAUUGACGCUGAGAUGCGAAAGCGUGGGGAGCAAACAGGAUUAGAUA
rnacentral:rRNA from 1 species